rnacentral:rRNA from 1 species
CAUAUCACUAAGCGGAGAAAAAGAAAAUAACAAUGAUUCCUAGAGUAACGGCGAGUGAAAUAGGAAAAGCCCAUAGCCGAAUUCUGCUGUCCUCGACGGCAGCUAGAAGUUGUGGCGUUGGGAACUGCCUCUUGUAACCGAUCGGCCGGGCUACGCGACUCCUCUUGAUUGUGGUUUGCCCAUAGCAGGUGAAAGGCCUAUUGGCCGUAGCCUCGUGCUGAAGGCCGGCGGUGAUGGCAGUCCUUAGAGUCGGUUUGUUUGGGAUUGCAGACCGAAGUAGGUGGUAAACUCCACCUAAGGCUAAAUACGAUCGCGAGUCCGAUAGCGCACAAGUACCGUGAGGGACAGUUGAAAAGAACUUUGAAGAGAGAGUUCAAAGUACGUGAAACCGUUCAGAGGUAAACGGGUAGAAAGUCGAAUUGAAGGUUGACAAUCAAGCCGUUGGCUAAGUCGGAGUUGGGCUGGUAGUACGUUAAAGGCUGCCAGUUUGCUCGUAUGGCUGGCUACGGUUGUAUUUGUUGACUUUAGAUCGCCGCAACGGCAGUGACUGACCGGCUGGCGUCUAUUCCUCUGGUCGAUGUGGAUCCGUAUGGGUCUUCUAUUCAACGUCGGCACAUGGGUAGGCGUCCCGCGUACAUGGCACAGUCGAUAAUUAAAGUAGUUUAAGCGUUCCAACUGGCUAUUCGUUCGUUUUGUAUUGGUAGGCUGAUCUUAAACAAGUUCACCUGCCGAUAUCAGGGCGGCGGUGGUUGGUUUAAAGACGGAACAAAGGCUACAUUGGCGGCGUUAGACCACGAAUUAUCUACCUGACCCGUCUUGAAACACGGACCAAGGAGUCUAACAUGUGCGCGAGCCAUUGGGAUUUUUAUGAUCAAAACCCAAAGGCAAAGUGAAAGCGAAAUCUGGUGAGAUCUGUCGUUUAUUUGUUAUGCAAAUAACGGCGGCGCAUCAUCGUCACGCCUCAACUCGGCUUCGGCUGAAGAGGCGCAGACUGAGCGCACAAGUUGGGACCCGAAAGAUGGUGAACUAUGCGAGGCGAGGUCGAAGCCAGAGGAAACUCUGGUGGAGGACUGUAGCGGUUCUAACGUGCAAAUYGAUCGUCGCAGCUUCGUAUAGGGGCGAAAGACUAAUCGAACCAUCUAGUAGCUGGUUCCCKCCGAAGUUUCCCUCAGGAUAGCUGGCACUUUCGGAGAGCAGUUUUGUCCGGUAAAGCGAAUGAUUAGAGGCCUUGGGGACAUAACGACCUCAACCUAUUCUCAAACUUUGAAUGGGCAAGAAGAGGGACUCACUUAAUUGGAGUCUUCUCAUUACACGAAUGCUUGAGUGCCAAGUGGGCCAUUUUUGGUAAGCAGAACUGGCGCUGUGGGAUGAACCAAACGUUUAGCUAAGGUGCCAAAUGCUAACGCUCAUCCGAACCCAUUAAAGGUGUUGGUUGAUAGAGACAGCAGGACGG